GGUUGUAUAGUGUAGUUGGUUAUCACAUCGGAUUCUGAUUAAAUCAUCAGUUUCCUUUCCGGUGACCCCGGUUCGAGUCCGGGUACGGUUA